CGCGUGGGAAUGUACCCUUCUCUAAGGAAUAGCCUCUGGAAACGGAGAGUAAUACCUUAUACGCCCUUCGGGGAAGGAUUAUCGAGAGGGAGUCAGCCGCGUUAGAUUAGAUAGUUGGUGGGGUAAGUGGCCUACCAAGUCUACGAUCUAUAGCUGGUUUUAGUAGGAUGAUCAGCAACACUGGGACUGAGACACGGCCCAGACUCCUACGGGAGGCAGCAGUGGGGAAUCUUGGACAAUGGGCGCAAGCCUGAUCCAGCCAUGCCGCGUGAGUGAUGAAGGCCUUAGGGUCGUAAAGCU
rnacentral:rRNA from 1 species